UGAUGAAGCACUGGGCCUGGCUUACUGCUGAUAAGGGCCUGAUGUUAAAGGCACUGCCUGUGCUAUUAGCCCACUCCCAAAAAACUCACUGCUUCUCCUACACCAUCAGGAUGGUUCUGUUGUGGAGCUGGUGAAACCCUGGGCUUUGAGCAGCUCAGACGCCAUCUGAGCACAGUCACAGAACACAGCGAAAGGUGCAUCAGACUUUUCCAUCCAUCCUUCUUCAAAAACCCCGCUCAUCAAAACUUGUGAGUUGAAAACCCACUGGAACACCCCAUUGCAGCAAAUGGAGGCUUCUUAAGGACAAAGUCUGAACUUACAGCCACUGUAUGUCCAAGAAAUUUCAACCAGUCAUAACUGAUCCACGGGAAAAACCCCAGUACCAAUAACUAGGGUUUGGUACCCAGCUGAUUUGAUCCUGGUACUUCUGGACUAGAGGAUUGCAAACAUAACAGCCAAGUUUGAGAGAAGAGAGGAUAAAUCAGAUAACUACAUACUCAUCAGCUGCCUGUCACCGAUGGGGGUAAAUUCUACAGGCAAAAGUUCAGAAGAAAUCAAUAUUUGUCACUUGGAAAAACAAGGGUUAAUGAUUGACAACCAACAAUGAUUUGUUAAAAGUACAUUUUUUCCGAUGAACUUUCAUUGAGUUUUUUGAUGAAGCAAAGGAGAGUGUUGAUGAGGAUAAUACAAUUAUUGAUUUGA